rnacentral:rRNA from 1 species
AGUGAACGCUGGCGGUAGGCCUAACACAUGCAAGUCGAACGGCAGCACAGUAAGGGCUUGCUCUUACGGGUGGCGAGUGGCGGACGGGCGAGGAAUACAUCGGAAUCUACUUUUUCGUGGGGGAUAACGUAGGGAAACUUACGCUAAUACCGCAUACGACCUACGGGUGAAAGCAGGGGAUCUUCGGACCUUGCGCGAUUGAAUGAGCCGAUGUCGGAUUAGCUAGUUGGCGGGGUAAAGGCCCACCAAGGCGACGAUCCGUAGCUGGUCUGAGAGGAUGAUCAGCCACACUGGAACUGAGACACGGUCCAGACUCCUACGGGAGGCAGCAGUGGGGAAUAUUGGACAAUGGGCGCAAGCCUGAUCCAGCCAUACCGCGUGGGUGAAGAAGGCCUUCGGGUUGUAAAGCCCUUUUGUUGGGAAAGAAAAGCAGCAGGUUAAUACCCCGCUGUUCUGACGGUACCCAAAGAAUAAGCACCGGCUAACUUCGUG